rnacentral:rRNA from 4 species
AAAGAAACCAACAGGGAUUGCCUCAGUAACGGCGAGUGAAGCGGCAAGAGCUCAAAUUUGAAAGCUGGCCCCUUCGGGGUCCGCGUUGUAAUUUGCAGAGGAUGCUUCGGGUGCAGCCCCCGUCUAAGUGCCCUGGAACGGGCCGUCAUAGAGGGUGAGAAUCCCGUCUGGGACGGGGUGUCUGCGUCCGUGUGAAGCUCCUUCGACGAGUCGAGUUGUUUGGGAAUGCAGCUCUAAAUGGGUGGUAAAUUUCAUCUAAAGCUAAAUACUGGCCGGAGACCGAUAGCGCACAAGUAGAGUGAUCGAAAGAUGAAAAGCACUUUGAAAAGAGAGUUAAACAGCACGUGAAAUUGUUGAAAGGGAAGCGUUUGCGACCAGACUCGCCCGCGGGGUUCAGCCGGCAUUCGUGCCGGUGUACUUCCCCGUGGGCGGGCCAGCGUCGGUUUGGGCGGCCGGUCAAAGGCCCUCGGAAUGUAUCACCUCUCGGGGUGUCUUAUAGCCGAGGGUGCAAUGCGGCCUGCCUGGACCGAGGAACGCGCUUCGGCUCGGACGCUGGCGUAAUGGUCGUAAAUGAC